UGUGAUACGAUCCUGACCAACCGCUC
rnacentral:piRNA from 2 species